rnacentral:antisense_RNA from 1 species
GAUCUUCACUUUUAACAAACUGAGGUGCAGAAUGGCCUGACAGCAGCUAUCUAUCCAACAGUCAUGUCCCAGGCCGGAAUCCUCCCAUCCAGGGAGGGACCACUUCCUGCCUGACAUCAAGGACAGGGCCAGCGGGGGUGGUCUCCUGGGGUUGCUGGCCCUGAGAAGGCCAAAGUCCCGGGGCUGCUCAGGCAGGAAAGUCGCGCUUCACAGCUCCACUGACUGUCCCUGCGGGGUGGCACGGCACUCAUGCCCAGCAACAGAGACACAGAGAUGGGCCUCUGAGUGUGAGGAUGCUCACGAUGAACGAGGUGCAGCUGCAACUGGCUCUGGAGGUAAGAAAACAGUAGCUGCCUACAAGCCAGGAAGAGAGGCCUCGCCGGAAAUCAACUCUUAACGACACCUUGGUCUUGGAUGUCCAGCCUCCAGAACUUUGAGAAAAUAACUUUCUGUUAUUGAAACCACCCAGUCUGUGGGAUUUUGUUAUGGCAGCCCCAGCAGACUAAGGCACAGGCCCUAAGCUAGAUACUUUCAUCCCGGCUUCUCUACUCAGCUCUCGGACAGCCCUGUGAGGGGGGCAUCGUCCUGGCUGUCCUGGUCUCACCAAGAAGGUGCAAGACUUCAAGAAGCUGCAGGCGGUUCUGUGACUGGAUCAAGUUUGCAGAGCUA